GGGUUGUGAGGUUAAGCGACUAAGCAUUACGGUGGAUGCCACGGCAGCAGUCGCAGAGGCGAUGAAGGACGUGCUAAUCUGCGAUAAGCGUCGGUAAGGUGAUAUGAACCGUUAUAACCGGCGAUUUCAGAUAGGGGAAACCAGUGUGUUUCGACACACUAUCGUGCUUGAAUCCAUAUGGGUUAAUGGGAGGCGAACCGGGGAACUGAAACAUCUAAGUACCCGAGGAAAAUCAACCGAGAUUCCCCAGUAGCGGCGAGCGAACGGGGAACAGCAGAGCCUGAAUCGGUGUGUGUGUUAGUGGAAGCGUCUGGAAAGGCGCGCGAUACAGGUGACAGCCCCGUACGCAAAAUGCACAUACUGUGAGCUCGAUGAGUAGGGCGGGACGUGGUAUCUGAAUAUAGGACCAUCCUCAAGGCUAAAUACUCCUGACUGACCGAUAGUGAACCGAACAAAUGAGGGAAAGGCGAAAGAACCCCGGCGAGGGUGAAAAGAACCUGAAACCGUGUACGUACAAGCGGUGGGAAUAUCUUAAUGGGGUGACUGCGUACCUUUUGUAUAAUGCGGUCAGCGACUUAUGUUCUGGCAGUUAACCGGAAUAGGAGCCGAAACUCGAGUCUUAACUGGGCGUUAAGUUGCAGGGUAUGAACCAGAAACCCAGUGAUCUAGCCAUGGGCAGGUUGAAGGUUAGGUGGCACUAACUGGAGGACCGAACCGACUAAUGUUGAAAAAAUUAGCGGAUGACUUGUAACGGGGUGAAAGGCCAAUCAAGAGAUAGCUGGUUCUCCCCGAAGCUAUUUAGGUAGCGCCUCGUAGAUUCCAUCUCCGGGGUAGAGGCACUGUUUCGGCAAGGGUCAUCCCGACUUACCAGCGAUGCAAACUGCGAAUACCGGAGAAUAUCACAGGAGACACACGGCAGGUGCUAACGUCCGUCGUGAAGAGAAACAACCCAGACCGCCAGCUAAAGGUCCCAAAGUCAUGAGUUAGAGUGGGAAACGAUGUGGAGAGGCCCAGACAGCCGGGGAUGUUGGCCAAAGCAGCCAUCAUUUAAAGAAAGCGUAAUAGCUCACUGGUCGAGUCGGCCUGCGCGGGGAAGAUGUAGCAGGGCUAAACCAUGCACCGAAGCUGCGGCAGCGACACUAUGUGUUGUUGGGUAGGGGAGCGUUCUGUAAGCCUGUGAAGGUGUACUGGUAUGUAGGUAUCAAGAAGUGCGAAUGCUGACAUAAGUAACGAUAAAGCCCGGGUGAAAAGCCCGCUCGCCGGAAGACCUGUCCAGCGUUAAUCCAGGGCAGGGUGAGUCGACCCUAAGGCGGGGCCGAGGGCGUAGUCGAUGGAAACAGGUUAAUAUUCCUGUGCCCGGUGUUACUGCGAAGGGGGACGGAAGGCUAUGUUGGCCGGGCGACGGUUGUCCCGGUUUAAGCGUGUAGGCUAGUUUUCGAGGCCGUCCGGAAAAUCAAGGCUGAGGGCGUGAUGACGAGGCACUACGGUGCUGAAGUAACCGAUACCCUGCUUCGGGGAAAAACCUCUAAGCAUCAGGUAACGUCAAAUCGUACCCCAAGCCGACACGGGUGGUCAGGUAGAGAAUACCAAGGCGCUUGAGAGAACUCGGGUGAAGGAACUAGGCAAAAUGGUGCCGCUUCGGGAGAAGGCGCGAUAUGUAGGUGAAGUCCCUUGCGGAUUGGUAAAUCCAGUCGAAGAUACCAGCUGGCUGCAACUGUUUAUUAAAACACAGCACUGUACAAACGAAAGUGGACGUAUGCAGUGUGACGCAGUGCCGGAAGGUUAAUUGAUGGGAGGUUAGCGGUAACGCGAAGCUCUUGAUCGAAGCCCCGAUGAAGCGGCGGCCGUAACUAUAACGGUCCUAAAGGUGGCAGAAAUUCCUUGUCGGGUAAGUUCCGACCUGCAGAUAGCGUAAUGAUGGCGGGCUGUCUCCACCCCAGAGACUCAGUGAAAUUGAACUCGCUGUGAAGAUGCAGUGUGUACCCGCGGCAAGACGGAAAGACCCGUGAACCUUUACUAUAGCUUGACACUUUGAACUUGUUGAGCCUUGAUGUGUAGGAUAGUGCAAGAACUUUGAAGUGUGGACGCCAGUCUGCAUGGGCUCGUAGCAAACCACCACCCUUUAAUGGCUGAUGUUCUAACGUUGGCUGAUCGGGGUUGCGGACAGUGUCUGGUGGGUAGUUUGACUGGGGCGGUCUCCUAAAGGUAACGGAGGAGCACGAAGGUUGGCUAAUCACGGUGGACAUCGGAGAGUUAGUGCAAUAGCAUAAGCCAGCUUGACUGCAGGCGUGACGGCGCGAGCAGGUGCAACAGUCCAUAGUGAUCCGGUGGUUCUGAAUGGAAGGGCCAUCGCUCAACGGAUAAAAGGUACUCCGGGGAUAACAGGCUGGUACCGCCCAGAGUUCAUAUCGACGGCGGUGUUUGGCACCUCGAUGUCAGCUCAUGCAUCCGGGGCUGAAGUAGGUCCCAAGGGUAUGGCUGUUCGCCAUUUAAAGUGGUACGCGAGCUGGAGUUUAGAACGUCGUGAACAGUUCGGUCCCCUAUCUGCCGUGGGCGCUGGAGAACUGAGGGCUACUCCUGAGUACGGACCGGUGGACGCAUCACUGGUGUUCGGGUUGUCAUGCAAUGGCACUGCCCAGUAUUCAUCUGCGGAAGAGAUAAGUGCUGAAAGCAUCUAAGCACGAAACUUGCCCCAGAUGAGUUCUCCCUGACUCAUAUGAGAGUCCUGAAGGAACGUUGAAGACGACGACGUUGAUAGGCCGGGUGUAUGGCGCAGCGAUGCGUUGAGCUAACCGGUACUAAUGAACCGUGAGGGCUUAACCUUACAACGCCGAAGGUGUUU
rnacentral:rRNA from 1 species